rnacentral:rRNA from 1 species
UACGGGGGGAGCAAGCGUUGUUCGGAUUUACUGGGCGUAAAGAGCUCGUAGGCGGUCUGUCGCGUCGGCUGUGAAAACCCGGAGCUCAACUCCGGGCCUGCAGUCGAUACGGGCAAACUGGAGUGUUGCAGGGGAGACUGGAAUUCCUGGUGUAGCGGUGAAAUGCGCAGAUAUCAGGAGGAACACCGGUGGCGAAGGCGGGUCUCUGGGCAACAACUGACGCUGAGGAGCGAAAGCGUGGGGAGCGAACAGG